UGACUAGAUUUGCAAAGUCCAAACUUUCCUCAAUAUUCACAAAUGUCCUCACUCUUCACAAAUGUGCUCACUAUUCACAAAUGUCCUCACUAUUCACAAAUGUGCUCACUCUUAACAAAUGUGCUCGCUAUUCACAAAUGUCCUCACUAUUCACAAAUGUGCUCACUCUUCACAAAUGUGAUCACUAUUCACGAAUGUCCUCAUUAUUCACAAAUGUGCUCACACUUCAGAAAUGUACUCACUAUUCACAAAUGUCCUCACUAUUCGCAAAUGUCCUCACUAUUCACAAAUGUCCUCACUAUUCACAAAUGUCCUCACUCUUCACAAAUGUCCUCACUCCUCACUAUUUACGAAUGCCCUCACUAUUCACAAAUGUGCUCACUCUUAACAAAUGUGCUCACUAUUCACAAAUGUGCUCACUCUUCACAAAUGUGCUCACUAUUCACGAAUGUCCUCACUCUUCACACAUGUGCUCGCUCUUCACAAAUGUGCUCACUAUAUACAAAUGUCCUCACUAUUCCCAAAUGUCCUCACUAUUUACGAUUGCCCUCACUUUUCCCAAAUGUGCUCACUCUUUACAAAUGUGCUCACUAUCCACAAAUGUCAUUAUUCACGAAUGUGCUCACUCUUAACGAAUGUGCUCACUAUUCACAAAUGUGCUCACUCUUCACAAAUGUGCUCACUAUUCGCAAAUGUGCUCACUCUUCACAAAUGUGCUCACUCUUCACAAAUGUGCUCACUAUUCACAAAUGUCAUUAUUCACGAAUGUGCUCACUCUUAACAAACGUGCUCACUCUUCACAGAUGUGCUCACUAUUCACAGAUGUCCUCACUCUUCACAAAUGUGCUCACUAUAUACAAAUGUCCUCACUAUUCACAAAUGUGCUCACUAUUCACAAAUGUGGUCACUAUCCACAGAUGUCCUCACUAUUCAAAAAUGUCCUCACUAUUCACAAAUGUCCUCACUCUUCACAAAUGUGCUCACAAAUAUAGUGAAAGCUGUUUUUAAAUAUUAAAGUGUAAUGAUAGCAGGUUUCUGCAGCAGCGGCUCGGUUCUGUUCCCGUUGACAGAUGCUGCUUUCAGAUGAUUCUGUGUGUGUUUGUUUGUCUGUGAAGAGCAUCAACACUUUCUAUUUACAUUGUGUUUCUGCAGCGCUGAUCACUGUAGUCAAUCACAGACGUGUUUGUUGAGCAUGUGAACACAGCGUCCAAUUAGAGGCAUUUAUUCAGAAUUCACUCAAUACACCAAUUUAGUUUGUUCAGCGUGAGCUCUCCCAUAUGGCAAAAAAUAUAUAUUUUUCAUGGAAUAUAUGCUAAAUAUAUGUUGCAA
ensembl:lncRNA